GCUUCUGGGAGGCCUGCUAACUGGCUAACUUCUCCGGCGUUCCUCCCGGCCGAGGCGUGGGCACAGAAUAGCGCAGGUCAGUAUGUACCUCGUUUUGUAUAUUGUCUUGAAACUUUACUCCUUUGUAUGUUUGAAGACAUCAUUUUCCAGUUUUGGAGCCGACUAAUGAACUAGUUCUUAAGUGAAAGGCAUUUAACACGACUGUGCAUCUACAGGUACUAGGUUUCCAAGAUGCCUUUCCAGACUAAAACCCACACAUGUGAGCCGCUGGCCGGACAAACAUCUGGCACCUAACGUGGGGCUGAAAAACAGCAGAGGACAUUUGGAAGAAACACUGCUGGUUUGGAGCUCCAUAGAAGAAGAAAAUAAUUAAAGGAAAUUCAUACCAGAGAAGGUCAGUAUGGGCUAAGCUGAAACAGCGUUUAACCUGAGCGCUAAUUCGCUUAGGUUCAGCAGUGAGGCAUCUCAGGAGCUAGGAACGUAACAGGCGGUUAGCCAUAGCUCCCAGAAGCUACAUUUUUAGGCGUGAGAAAAGAAAGGGUUUAUUAAAAGGAAAUUAAUAAUAAGGCGGACUGCAUCAUGCGGGAGGAAAAUGUCCCAAAAAGCAGAGAGAAAUUUCCGGAGUGCCAUGCUUUGUUCUCUCUGGGCUUUACAGCAGAAAUACUCUGCCCCUUUUGUGUCUUGUCUAAUGUCUGGUGCACUGAAAGACCCACAACAUGAGGACUCCCCCACGUUCUGACUCAGGAGAGGCGACACCCCAAACCACUCACAAGAAACGGUCUUGCUGCAAACUGCAAGAGGAUUUUUAUUCAAGAGCGCUCUCAGGCCCACGGUCAUACACCACACAGGGGUAGAGGACUUUCGCGUCCUGAGUUGCUGGGAAAGGGGGUAUUUAAAGGAAGAAACCACAACUCAAGGAAGUG
ensembl:lincRNA